UACCUGGUUGAUCCUGCCAGUAGUCAUAUGCUUGUCUUAAAGAUUAAGCCAUGCAUGUCUAAGUAUAAGCAUUUAUACCGCGAGACUGCGAACGGCUCAUUAAAACAGUUAUGGUUUAUUUGAUGGUUCCUUUGCUACUUGGAUAACCGUAGUAAUUCUAGAGCUAAUACAUGCACGAAGGGACGACUCACGAAGUCCUGUAUUUAUUAGAUUAAAGCCAACCACCUCCGGGUGUUCGUGGUGAAUCAUAGUAACUUCUCGGAUCGCCGGCUCUACGCUAGCGACGUGUCAUUCAAAUUUCUGCCCUAUCAGCUUUAGAUGGUAGGAUAUGGGCCUACCAUGGCGGUGACGGGUAACGGAGAAUUAGGGUUCGAUUCCGGAGAGGGAGCCUGAGAAACGGCUACCACUUCUAAGGAAGGCAGCAGGCGCGCAAAUUACCCAAUCCUGACUCAGGGAGGUAGUGACAAGAAAUAACAAUAAACCGGCUUAUGCCGGUUUAAUUGGAAUGAGUACAAUUUAAACAUCUUAACGAGGAACAAUUGGAGGGCAAGUCUGGUGCCAGCAGCCGCGGUAAUUCCAGCUCCAAUAGC
rnacentral:rRNA from 1 species